UUGUAGGCAAGGACGUGUAUUGCAGCUUCUGAUGUCCAAAAUGGGUCCAUCUUAUUUCAAGUGCUUUUUAUAUAUGUUGGGCAUGUGUUGCACUAAGUCAUUCAAUCAACCCAUGAUGUGUUACUGCAAUAAAAUGAAAUAGCGUGUGUUGCUUUCUUUAAACUUGAAACCAGCCUUCUUCAUGGAUGUGUGGAUGAACGGCC
rnacentral:lncRNA from 1 species